rnacentral:sRNA from 1 species
UCGGAGACUACCACCACUUUCUCCGGUGG